AAGGUCCGCGCACGCAGCUCAUCGGUGGAUGCACGUCUGCUUGGCGUCGCAAUGCGGCCUGCGUCAUUUUUUGGUGUUCGCGCAAUCGGUGUGAAGCAUGUCGCAUGUGAAAUGUUUGGUAGAAGUGCCUCACGUCCAAGUCAAGCCGCAGUACGGGUGUAUGGCUGUGCGCCCUGUUCUCGGAAGCGUCAACGGCUUUCCGGCAUGCGGAUUUCAGCGUUUGGACUCGACUUUUGGUGAGGCUGUCGAUCGACCUUGGGCCUGGUGACAGCACACCCGACAUCGCCAAAGUGCAGCCUCUCAGUUGAGUGCCCCCGAAUGGACCAUCAACAUCGGAAACUGAAGCAGAGCCAGGGGGAAAAAGCUCCGGUAACACCAUGCAUUCAGUAUGGUGGCCCAGACGUGUAUGCAAGCAACCUCCUUCAUGUGGACCAAGAACUACUCUGCAGUGUCUCACAGUCUUCCAUGCGAAGCCCUCAACAUUCUCGUCUCAGUGGAAUGGCUGCCCAUCUAUCUGCGUGUCCAUCACCAAGACGGCUAGUUGUAAAGCUCCUGUACCCGUUUAAGAAAGCUUAAUGAUUUUUUUUAUUUAGUUUUCACGGUUGGCCGUAGAAUCUUAACAUUUUUGAUGUUUCUAACGUUUUUACCUGGCACAAAGUGGCGCAAUAACUUUAAACCAGUGUAAUGUAUUUAAGUGAAGCUCACUCUAAUGCCUAUGUGGUUUUGUUUGUGUUUAAGAAAUUUGAAUGUCUGAUGAGGUAACAGCAUUUAAAUUUGUCAUCGUGGCUUGGUUCAAUGAGCCGCUAGGAAAUAAGAUGCAAAACUUAUCACAUGCCAGUUGUAGCAUUUUUGUAUUCAUGACUAAAGUAUACACGUUUCAAAAGAUGGAAAGUGGGGAAAAAAAGCCUCAAGAACAUAAUCAUCCUAGGAUUGUCAUGUCCUUACAACUCUGCAAUGACUAAUGCCUCAUGCAUAUUGGGAGCAGAAUGGUCGCAAUGCCUACAGGUAUACUUGAUAAGAGACUAGCUUGCAAAAAUUUAGUUGAGAGUUAGCGCUCAUCCUGUCUGCUUCUAGUCUGUGUCCAUGCCACUUCGCGCUACAAUCAAAGAUCAUGUUACUGUACCAACUCGCCCAACUUUUUAUCCUUGUGUUAAAGACACACUCAGACUUGUUCUUACUUAUGUGACCGGUUAUUUUUGUGCUUUAUAAUAAGAUGCAGUGCUUUUCGAAUGAAAACGUGAUAUUUAGUAGUGAGGUUAUUUAAAAAAACUGUUCUGCUUAAAAUUUAAUUGAGCAAGCCUGUGCCAUUAUUCGGUGCUUAUGUCUUUGUAUUGGUAUGGUUUUACUCAUCUUCCUUUUUACUUUUAAAAUGUGCAAACAUUAUUAUGUAACCAUUUCUCUUGAAUGAAAUAAAUACUUCUGACAUUUCGUCACAAA